AAGUAGGCAGCUCCAGCGCGCCUGCGUGGAGCGGCCCUUCGCGCAGUGAGGCUGUAGCGGGGGAAGGCACCGGUGGGGCCGACGGGCGGGCUGAAGGAGGGAAGCAGGGGAGCGAAGUCCCAGUGCGCGCCGCGGCGGCCCGGGUACCCUCCCCUUCCGGGCUUGAGGCGCUGUGAGAAGAGCUGAACCGAGCGGACUCACACCAGCAGCGAGGCGCUGCUACCGCUGCCCCAGUCCGGCCUCCUUCGGCCUCGGCGCUCCCGUCGUGGGGGCCCAGUUUCCUUAGCACACCCAUCCCCAGCAGUCUGCAGAGCCUGUCCCCGGCCCUUCGAAAGCCCCGGCGCCAGCCCGGGCCCUUGGCAGGGAGAAUGACGGAGCUGCAGUCGGCACUGCUACUGCGAAGACAGCUGGCAGAACUCAACAAAAAUCCAGUGGAAGGCUUUUCAGCAGGUUUAAUAGAUGACAAUGAUCUCUACCGAUGGGAAGUCCUUAUUAUUGGUCCUCCAGAUACACUUUAUGAAGGUGGUGUUUUUAAGGCUCAUCUCACUUUCCCAAAAGAUUAUCCCCUCCGGCCUCCCAAAAUGAAAUUCAUUACAGAAAUCUGGCACCCAAAUGUUGAUAAAAAUGGUGAUGUAUGCAUUUCUAUUCUUCAUGAGCCUGGUGAAGAUAAAUAUGGCUAUGAAAAACCAGAGGAGCGCUGGCUCCCCAUUCACACCGUGGAAACCAUCAUGAUUAGUGUUAUUUCUAUGCUGGCAGACCCUAAUGGAGACUCACCUGCUAAUGUUGAUGCUGCGAAAGAAUGGAGGGAAGACAGAAAUGGAGAAUUCAAAAGGAAAGUUGCCCGCUGUGUAAGAAAAAGCCAAGAGACUGCUUUUGAGUGACAUUUAUUCAACAGCUGUAACUUCACUUAUUUCAGGAGAUAAAUGGAACAAGACACGUUCUGUCAAGGUCUCCAAUUGAGAAACAUGGCACUGUUUUUCCUGCACUCUACCCACCUAUUGCUGGACUUCUGUUGUAACAAGUUGGCAAACACUGGCUGGAACUGGGCUGCAAUAAAACAUGCCAGUAUCGAUGCUGACAAGAGCCUAACAAGUGCCAACUUACAGAUGAUUACGCAUUUUGAAUUCUAAUGAACUGUUUUAACCUUCAGGAAGAAUUGUAAAGACCUGUACAUAGCACAACAUGAUCCGGAUAAUAUAUAUACUGUUCAUGUACAUCCACAAAUACACCUUGUACCAAAUAAUGCUUUCUUGUAGUAGAAUAAGAAUCGUGUAAAUUCUAAAAGAUUUUAGCAAGUUUUCUUCCCCUACUCAUUGUUUCUUAUGUUUUAAAAGACUCUUUAAAGCAUGUCAGAUGAAAAGCAAUUAGGAUUAAAAGUUUCCAUUUAAUUUCCUUUAAACCAUUGAGGCUUCAUUAAACUUUUCAUUUACUAAACUUUUGUAUCUUCUUUGUUUUGACACAGUUCCCUUUGUGUUUAUCUUUAUCUCUUCUAUCUGCCAGAAAGUUUUCAAAUCAUUUAGGUCAAAUACUGAAAUACUUAAUAAGCAGCUACUUGAUUUUUAAUGAUGACUUCAGAGGAGUGGUCAUCACUAGGUGCUCGGUCCUUUUUGUAUUCCAGUUGCACCCAUCACUUGGAUCGGAUGUAGCAAUAACAUAUUUUGGCUGUUGAGAGCUCUUGAACCGUCAUUAUUCCCAAGGACUAAAAAGAGUUGGUUCUGAAUUCACUUACUGAAAUUUACCCCAAAUUAUACAAAAUUCUGAUUUGGUUUUAUUUUUAUCUUCCAGCUACCAAAUGUUAAGGUUCAAUGAAUAAAGCAUGCACUACUACAGGCUUCAUACUUAACUUCUGGGUUUGCUAUGAAAAAUGCUAUUUUGCCUCAUACCCUUCUCCUUGCCCUUCAUAUUUCUUUGCCUCUAUUCUUCUAUACUGCAGAUUUUUCUCACUUAUUGUAUAAAGAAAUUGCGAUGUAUAUUUUCAUGUAAUUUGAUUUUGGAAUUCUGUCACCUUAUGUAGUGAGUUCUUCCAAAAUAUAAUUUUUUUUCCAAUAAUUGUCAAGUUGUUGGCUUUUAUUAUAUUGAAUGAAGGGUAUAAUACUGAAUAUCAGAGAAGUUCAGUUUAGAAAAAUCUCAGGUUGAUUCCUUAUGCAAACAGACUUAAUACUUGAAAAUCACGUGACCAUGGCAGUAUAUAUAUUUCUCUGUCUAGAUUCUUAUGUGAAUCUCAAAGCAUUACAGAGGUGUAAAUGCUUUGUUAGCUUGACAUACAGAUUCUGUCACUGACAUAGUGCACUUGGAUUUUUUAACAUUUGAACAUAAAUAUAUUUUAUAAUUUUUCUCAUUUAGGAAGUGGUAAAAUAAACGUGCAGUGUUAAAGGCAGGUCCAGAUUCUUCUCUGUUUGGUGUAAGGUUGGGGUUGGGAAGUAGUCUUGGCAUAUAAGGGCUAGAAGGUGAUACAGUCCCAGGUGGGACAUGGCGUUUAAUUGUGAGAAUCACUGAGAAGUGGUGCAUUUUUGCUCUGGGUGAUUUGGAGAAACACUUUGGCAGAACAGUGAAAGCGUUCCUGCAAGCAGCCUAGUCCUCUACAAAUUGUUCAUGGCCUUUUUUAAGCAGAAGUGAAAUGGUUAAGAAUGUAGUCACCACAGAGUGAUUUUUCUAAAUUCCAGCCUGUUCUUGACUCUGAAGCAUAUAAAAACCUAUAAAUGUGUAAUAACUGAAAGUGAAUAUGUUUAUAUUAUUCAUUGAGGCCUAAUUUUUUUAAAGAACUUUCUGACUUCUUUUCCCCACAAAGACUAAGAAACUGUUGCCCUAAAGCACCAGUAUUGUAUACCUCCCUGGGACUUUGAACACAAGUUCUUUACUCUUAAAUCAGAAAUUGUUCACACAGUGGAGGUUGUGACAAAAUAGAGUCUGAAUUUUGCUCUCCUGUUGCUAAGAUUCUGCAAGCUAUCUGUUGAGUUAAAACCUGGCAAUUUGACUCUUCAGGGAAUAGCAAAUGACCUAGUAACUCAGGGACAACUAUUCUUGAACUUUUAAAUGCCACUUUAAUGCAGUUACUUUGGUAUUACCGUAUGUGUUUAGGGCUUAGAUCUAGGGGAGUAUAAGGGGGAGCCAGGAAUGAAUGUAUCUCCCUUCACACUCCUUUCCACCUGGUGCCCUGACCUACUACAUAAGGAAAUGGACCUUCUUGAUGGUUGUUUUGACUUAUUUUCUUCUGUCAAAGGUGUCAUCUGUGCCUUUCCAAGAGUUCAUCUGAUAGUGUGAAUUUAAAUGCCUCUAUAUUUGUUAUUAAAUCACACUUGGGUGACACUGAUGCAAGUGGCUGUUGUCCCACCAGUGCCUCUCCAUUAGUGUGAGGUGAGUCCUUUUUGCUUUGGGAAAAGGACUUCUCUCCCUAACCUUGUGCCAACUAUUGACAUCUACAUAGUCUUAUGGAUUAUAGAACUGUUGACUGCUUCCUAAAUUUAUUCCAAGUUCUUGUAAAGGUUUAUAGAUUUCAGUCUGUGCUCAUAAUGGGGUGGAUGGUCUGAGUGGCUUUUGGCCUCUUUGUGAGUUUAAAAUCUAUGAGGUUGGUUUUCUUGUCAUUAUAAGGUAAUAUCUUUGUGAGGUUAUUCCACUGACUCUGUGAUCACUUGGGUGUCAGUAUUUUUUUAGUGGCCUUCCUUCUUGGUUGUGAAGUUUAUAUGCUCACUCACCCUCUACAAAUUAGCCCAUUUUGGGUUGUGGUGCCUGUGUAUUUUUGCCCAUCUGGUCUCCAGUUGGUGGAAUUACCUUUUUUGUCUGCCACUUCUCAGCAUCUUUGAAAUUUGACAUGAUGUUGCUUCAUUCCAGUUUUUAGAUCUGUAAUUUGUUGAUUGUACUUAACUAUGUGAGUUCUGUUGUGAUGUUUACUGUAUUGUAAAGCACCUCGAUCAUGUGAUGGGGGCUCUAUAAAUCAAUAAAUGAUGACUUAGAGGCUG